CUGGCUGUAGUAUAGUGGUUAGUACCCCACGUUGUGGCCGUGGAGACCUGGGUUCAAUUCUCAGCAGCCACA
rnacentral:tRNA from 1 species